CUCAAUUAUUUUCCACAUCUCUCUCCUUCACAUACUCUCUCUCUCUCAUCUUCUCUCUUCUUCUCCCUCAAACCGAAGCUCUCACUUCUCCUCUGCAACCUAAGACAAAUCACCAAAGUCGACGAACCGACGUUCAAAUUACCACCAUCGUACUCCUUUCAUCCUCACUAACUCAACCAUAUAAACGGAAUCCAGAACAAGUGAGUUUUGGACGUCGAACUCGGAAGCUCCGACUCGGUUCGAAAUUUUUCCCGACGAAUUUCCGGGCUAGUUACAAGGUUUUGGAAGGUUUAGAAGUCACCACACAACUCCCCAAGGUCCCUAGUACAAGUUUGAAGACAAGCGAAUGUGAAAAAGCACGAGUUCGAAAAAUUAAAGUUUGUGCCGUGAGGUUCCAAGCCAUUUUCAAACACUUUUCAUCCACUUUUUGAAAUUUUAAAAGUUUUUCGACGGACGGUAAGGACCGCGACGACGACGCCGGAGGUUGACCCGAGAAGAAGACGGAAUAUUCUAACGCUGUUAAGAUAAUUGAAUCCGUUACUGUUAACAAAAUAUUUCGUUAAAUCUGACAAAAUAUUCUGCUGACUUCAGUCACACGUCAGGCUAGUGAGGGCUCGUGCGUGAUCUUGGCGGAAUUGAUUAUUCCGAUGACAUACUAGGUCAAACAAACAAGGCAAGCAGGCUACGAUCCAACUAUAUAUUUGUGAGUGAGCAUUUGUUUUUAUAUAUUAUAUAGUUUUAUAGUUUCUAUAUAUGCUUUUAAGAAUUAAUAUUAUGCCUAUUAUGCCAUGAUUUAAUUCGAUUAAAUGUGAUAUUAUACGAUUGAGAUAUAGGAAUUGUCGUGGCAAAAUCAUAUGUAUUUUACUACUCAAGCAUGCUACACAGGUGUAUGUACUAGCCCCAGGGCCAAGGAUAGUCUUUCAUGUGCUGUUCACAUAGCACCGUUUGCUC